rnacentral:lncRNA from 1 species
UCAGUACGUUUGGUGCGUUAAAUGCGUCCACUGUAUUUGUUGGUUAUUGUAUUUUUCUUGUGUCUGUUGUUGUGUUAUUUGUUAUUAUAAUUGCACGUAAUUUUCAUAAUAGCCCAUGAUUGACCGAAAAAUGAAAGCGUAUUAAUUAAUGUUUAUUUCGGUACUGCCGCAACAUCUACAGAUGGAAUGGUGCUCGAAGGUUUCCUUGAUUUCGUUUGCGCUUAUCUAUUCGAGAUUGGCUAACAAAUAAGAGAAAUUGAAAAGUUCAUUUUGGCCAUAGCGAUGACAACAUGGGAUGUCUGACUUGGUGUUUUUUCUCGAUUUGGCUUGCUUUCCACACAUGUCAUUCAUGGAACCUUAUAUUCCACAGUUAAUUCAGAGAUUACCCGAUAAGUUAAGUUUAUUCUGAUACUGCCGGAAUAUCUACAGAUGGGAUAGGAUGGUGUGCAAUGGUGAAAUUCUACCUGCAUUAUUACCUGCAAAUAUGAUACCAUUGAUUGUAGGAGUCCUCUUCUCCAGAAAGUAGGAGUAUCCCAAGAAAUUCUAAAAGUGCCUUUUUGCCACAACAAAGACAUUACUUGUUCAUUUGUGGAAAUGAAUUAUCAACAUGAAUGGUAUACUACACAGAAGUUAACACAGUCAAGAGUACUCGGGAUGCCAUGUAUUAUGCGACAUUGGUUCCUCAUUCACUCUAGGUAGUAGAAGUACCUGAAGUCCUGAGGAGAGCGUGAAGGUGCCUUUUUUACAUUUGGAACAGAAACAGUGUGUUAUUGCUAAAGGAAAGAUUUAUGAAACUAUGAGACGGAUUGAUUGGUUAACAAAUGGGAGAGAUUGGAAUGUUAAUUUUAACCCUAACGAUGACGACAUGGGAUGUCUGCAUGGGUAUCCUUUCUGAAUUUGGUUUUCAUUCCACACAUGUAAACGUUGAAACACUACAUUCUACAGCUAAUUCAGGUAAUAAUACAUGGUUAAAUUAAUAUUAAUUACACUUUAUUAAUCUGUUGUCAAUUUGAUUAACAAAAGACGUUCUGAAUUCAUAGGAUGACGUACGUAUGUUACUUCUUUGUAUAAUACCGUUAGAUUGUCCAUUAUUUUGCUGGGGUUAAAGGUUAUUGUGAACUUCAAUUUAUCCAAUUUUUUUCUAAAAAGGCUUGGUUGGCGUUUAUAGUCCCACUACAUUUUGGUGAGUUUGUCAUAAAAAUUCAUAGAGAACAUCGAUUUACAUUUCCAACCACCCAAUUUAACCAAGACUUUUAUGUCUUGAUUAUUAAUAUUUUAAACCCUGAUUUUGAAAUUCGAGUCUUUAAUAAGUAAAGGAAUUCAGAAAUACUACUGCAGCUUGACGUUCAGAAUACUUUGCAGUAAAGUGGGUUGCAUAUAUCAAAGACAAAAUAUUUAAAACUAAAUCCAUUUUAAAUCCAUGUUAUGAUGGUACGUUCCCGCGAAAUUAAAGAGUGCGCUGUAGUCUAAAUAAAAAUAAAGAUGUUACAGUGCGAGUCGAAAUUUGUAAGCAGCUAAAUUUUUGGAUUUAAAUAAAACAACCUAAAUUUAUAUGAUACAUAAGCAAUCUAUGAAAAUAAAUAAGAUUUUACAACACAACGCUGCUAAUAUAAGUGGUUUGUUUUCAUUUUGUUUUGUAUAUUUCUUUAACGUGAGCAUUUUUACCUUGUGUCCUGUACAUUUCAACUUUUUAUACGAUUCCUGAUAAUGAUAGUUAAAAAUGCGGACAAAAAAGUGUUGGUUUUAUUUGAAAAAGUUGUGAUGAGAGAUUGAUAAACUCGUAACAGUUGCUUAUUUCGUGGGCAUCUGAAGUCUAUAAUUUAUUUCUACGUUUCCAAAAAGAAUUGUAUUUCAAAAAAAUUUCCGUAUUUUGAAAUUGCAUACAAAGGAAAUGAAGUUUCAGUUAUAAAACCGUUGUAAAAAGGGCAUGCACCUUUCGUUGGCACAAAAAUGAAAAAAUUAGUUAUUUUGAAUUAUCCCAAAUGAAAUCGAAAAUUUCCCACCCUUAUACCAACAAAAGAUGCUUGUCAAGUUUUUCACAACGGAUUUAAAACUAAAACUUAUGAUUAUGUUCCUGUAUAAGCUUAAUGUUACAUUCUGUUUUUUUUUUUUGAUAUGAGCAAUAGUCUGUACCAUGUAUGUCAUCUUUUGGUUUUCUUUAAACACCUGAAUAGAAAUAAUUGUCUCUGCAUUAUGUAUACGUAUGCAAAGUACAUAUUA